GUUCACGAAACAAACAGACGGAACUAUACGAAGUCCAAGAUAAUAAAAAAGGGGGGAGUCCAUUAUCCCGACAAAAUCAUACGUUCGAUAUUAUCAACUAACACAACGACAGGAAAACUACAGUCAUAUUCCUAAAUUGAUAAAGAUGUUUUACUAUUUCACAUACUUGUACAAUUUUAACUAUAAUUGUGCAGCUUGGUUUAGAAAAGGUAAAAACCUGGUUUCAUAGCUUGCAAAGCGUGUAUGACAGUUGUUUAUCAUAAUUAUCUAUAAUACACAUUACCAAAAGAAUUAAGGCU
rnacentral:lncRNA from 1 species